ensembl:ncRNA asRNA:CR44358 antisense RNA:CR44358
AUUUUUGUAUCUUUAAAACACCCGCUGCGCAAAAAUUCCCGUUCUUAGUUACUUUGCAGUCAAAACCACUCAUUGAUGGUCAAGUGUAAAUUACCACAGAAGGAAAGGAAAGGGAAAGGAAUGGGAAAGGAGCCCAGGACGACAAGAUCGAAAACAAGCAAGAGGGAGCUCAUGAAGAUCCUCUUCGAUGGCUUCCUCAGUUGCUUGGAGAAGGAGAACGACUGGCAGAGGAUUAUGCACUUUGAGUUCGUGUCCAAUUGAUCUGGUAACUGGAGUGGUUAAUCCAGAGCGCGAACAAUGGUAUCGGAUUACCCGACUUAACGAUCCUAUCCCAUUUCAAUGCCGGCUCCCCAAUGUCUUCGACUUACUCGUGUUUUGUAGCACUUCUCGCCAUUGUCCGCCUUUUCGCACUGUAUUCCAAAUUCGUCCAGAAACAGAUCCUCCUGGAAAAGGGGAAAGGAAAUAAUUACAAUGAAAAUGUG